rnacentral:rRNA from 1 species
UACGUAGGGUGCAGGCGUUAAUCGGAAUUACUGGGCGUAAAGCGUGCGCAGGCGGCUCCUUAAGUCAGACGUGAAAUCCCCGGGCUUAACCUGGGAAUGGCGUUUGAAACUACGGAGCUGGAGUGUGGCAGAGGGAGGUAGAAUUCCACGUGUAGCGGUGAAAUGCGUAGAUAUGUGGAGGAAUACCGAUGGCGAAGGCAGCCUCCUGGGCCAACACUGACGCUCAUGCACGAAAGCGUGGGGAGCAAACAG